UAACAGGGUUUCCGUAGGUGAACCUGCGGAAGGAUCAUUAUUGAAUAAACUUGAUGGGUUGUUGCUGGCUUCUAGGAGCAUGUGCACGCCUAUCAUCUUUAUCUAUCCACCUGUGCACCYUAUGUAGUCUUUGGAGGUAAUGAGUGCGAAAUCUUAAUCGAGGAUUCAAUCCUCGGAGAGAGGCCUUACCAUGCGCGAGUGUGGUUGGCUUUGGUGCUCGCGCGUGUUCUUUCAAAGUCCUCUAUGUCUUUCAUAUAUACUACAUGGAAUGUCUUAGAAUGUAUUUCAUUAGGCCGCAGUGCCUAUAUAAUAAAAUACAACUUUCAGCAACGGAUCUCUUGGCUCUCGCAUCGAUGAAGAACGCAGCGAAAUGUGAUAAGUAAUGUGAAUUGCAGAAUUCAGUGAAUCAUCGAAUCUUUGAACGCACCUUGCGCUCCUUGGUAUUCCGAGGAGCAUGCCUGUUUGAGUGUCAUUUAAUUCUCAACCCCUCCGGCUUUUGUGGCUGGCUUGGUGGCUUGGAUGUGGGGGGGAUUGUUUUUGCGGGCCUCUUCAGAGGUCGGCUCCCCUUAAAUGCAUUAGUGGAACCGUUUGCGGAAACUGUCACUGGUGUGAUAACUAUCUACGCCAAAGACAACUGCUCUCUGGUAUUCUGCUUCUAAUUGUCCAUCAUUGGACAAUGAUGUUUGAAUGCUUGACCUCAAAUCAGGUAGGACUACCCGCUGAACUUAAGCAUAUCAAUAAGCGGAGGAAAAGAAACUAACAAGGAUUCCCCUAGUAACUGCGAGUGAAGCGGGAAAAGCUCAAAUUUAAAAUCUGGCGGUCUUUGGCCGUCUGAGUUGUAAUCUAGAGAAGCGUCACCCGCGCUGGACCGUGUACAAGUCUCCUGGAAUGGAGCGUCAUAGAGGGUGAGAAUCCCGUCUCUGACACGGACUCCCAGGGCUUUGUGGUGCGCUCUCAAAGAGUCGAGUUGUUUGGGAAUGCAGCUCUAAAAGGGUGGUAAAUUCCAUCUAAAGCUAAAUAUUGGCGAGAGACCGAUAGCGAACAAGUACCGUGAGGGAAAGAUGAAAAGAACUUUGGAAAGAGAGUUAAACAGUACGUGAAAUUGCUGAAAGGGAAACGCUUGAAGUCAGUCGCGUCGGCCAGGAAUCAGCCUCGCUCUUGCUUGGUGUAAUUCCUGAUUGACGGGUCAGCAUCAAUUUUGACCGCUGGAAAAGGGCAUGGGGAAUGUGGCAUCUUCGGAUGUGUUAUAGCCCCUUGUCGCAUACGGCGGUUGGGAUUGAGGAACUCAGCACGCCGCAAGGCCGGGUUUCGACCACGUUCGUGCUUAGGAUGCUGGCAUAAUGGCUUUAAUCGACCCGUCUUGAAACACGGACCAAGGAGUCUAACAUGCCUGCGAGUGUUUGGGUGGAAAACCCGAGCGCGCAAUGAAAGUGAAAGUUGAGAUCCCUGUCGUGGGGAGCAUCGACGCCCGGACCAGAACUUUUGGGACGGAUCUGCGGUAGAGCAUGUAUGUUGGGACCCGAAAGAUGGUGAACUAUGCCUGAAUAGGGUGAAGCCAGAGGAAACUCUGGUGGAGGCUCGUAGCGAUUCUGACGUGCAAAUCGAUCGUCAAAUUUGGGUAUAGGGGCGAAAGACUAAUCGAACC
rnacentral:rRNA from 1 species